CUUUCUGAGAACCGGUGCUUUAAUGAGUAAACUCACGCAGCUGCAACAAAUGCUGCCACCUCCUGGCAUCUUUUAAAAAGGCUGGAGUGCAGUGGCAUGAUCUCAGCUCACUGCAACCUCCGCCUCCCGGGUUCAAGUGAUUCUUCUGCCUCAGCCUCCCAAAUAGCUGUGAUUACAGGGAACCCGUUGUUGCUCAGACACCCGAUGUGGAAAUUUUUCUUCUCCCUCAGUUCAAAUGAGAUAAAGAUCCUCCUCUCCUCACAGUGAACAUGAGGUCACAGUGUCCAUGUAACUAACUACUGGUUAAGAGGAUAUGGGUAGAAGGCACAUGUUCAACUUCUGGCUUCUGUCCUUGAAAAGUGUGAUGAUUCCAUCCUUUGCUGUCUUCCUUCCCGCUGACUGGAAUGUGGACUUGGUAGUGAGCUACCUUGGACUAUGUGGAUGAAGACAAAGAUAAAAGGAACCAAGGACUCUGAUGAUUCUGUAGAGAAGAGGAACCGUAGCUGCUCAAAUGUUCAUGUGAAAGAAGAAUAAACUAUCAGAUUU
rnacentral:lncRNA from 1 species